UGUAGGGAGUAACUAUGAAUCUCUUAAGGUAUCCAAAUGCCUCAUCAUCUAAUUAGUGAUGCACAUGAAUGGAUUAACUAGAUUCCCACUAUUCAUAUCUAUUAUCUAGCAAAACCACAGUCAAGGGAAUGGGCUUGGAAUAAUCAAUAGGGAAAGAAGACCUUGUUGAGAUUGACUCUAGUCUGAAUUUGUGAAAUGACUUGAGAGGUGUAGAAUAAGUGGGGGUAUUUUUCAUCAAAAAUGAAAUACCACUACUUUUAACGUUAUUUUACUUAUUCUCUAGGAUGGAGACGGGGCAUUUACCCUAUUUUUUCCUUAAGACACGUUUUGAUGGGUCAAUCUGGGCAGAAGACAUUUCCAGUUGGGAAUUUUGGAUGGGGCGACACAUCUAUUAAAAGAUAACCUAAAAUAUAAUUGGUGUAGAUAGAACAUUUUUAUUUGAGAGAUCCUAGUGCACAUCCACCCUUAUUACCUUUCCCUCCUAAUUUGUAGU
rnacentral:ncRNA from 1 species